rnacentral:rRNA from 1 species
UUGACCUCGGAUCAGGUAGGAAUACCCGCUGAACUUAAGCAUAUCAAAGA